rnacentral:rRNA from 1 species
GACGUACUGCGCGAACGUUAUUCGGAAUCACUGGGCUUAAAGGGUGCGCAGGCGGCUUCCAAAGCCCGAAGUGAAAGGUCCCGGCCCAACCGGGGACGUGCUUCGGGGACUUGGAGGCUCGGGCGAGCUAGGGGUCCGUGGAACUCCCGGUGGAGCGGUGAAAUGUGUUGAGAUCGGGAGGAACGCCGGUGGCGAAAGCGACGGACUGGGGCUUUGCCGACGCUCAUGCACGAAAGCCAGGGGAGCGAACGGG